UUUCCGUAGGUGAACCUGCGGGAGGAUCAUUACAGUAGUCACCCAGGUUGCCGCAAGGCCUCCUGGGUAACCUACCACCCUUUGUUUAUUACACUUUGUUGCUUUGGCAAGCCUGCCCUCGGGCUGCUGGCUCCGGCCGGCGAGCGCUUGCCAGAGGACCUAAACUCUGUUUGUCUAUACUGUCUGAGUACUAUAUAAUAGUUAAAACUUUCAACAACGGAUCUCUUGGUUCUG
rnacentral:misc_RNA from 1 species